GACAUGCUCUCCGUCAUGCACAGAAGUGUCAUAUAGCAGUGACACUGAAAACUUUACAAAAAGAGUGACGUUUCAGGAUACUGCCCAUCCGAAAGGAAAGAUCAGCUGGGACUAUGUUCUUGGAUCUGAUGCUGCUCAUAACCAUUGCAACUGUCUCCAAGUCUGGCCAAAAUUGAUCAGUUUUGGCUGGAGAUCAUCUACAUCUAUAGAAUGCUCAUUCUAAACUAGAUAGUACAUAGGUGUACUAAGCCUUUAAAAAAUGUGUGUAUAUGACUGUCUGGAUAACGUAAUAAAAGUACAAGUGUGGCAGGCACUAGAAUAUGGGCCUGUGAUCUUAUGGAUAUACUGCAAUCAUUACAACCUGCUUGGCAAACAUAUGAAGAAUUAACAAAUGGCAGCCACAGGAGGACAAACCGCACACAGAAGCCUGCCCCAUGCUAAGUGGUCCAUUUGCAAACACUGCUCCACUCUUUCAGUGCAAGUCUACCAGUCUGGUCUGACUGAUUAAAAAUACUGAACUCUUUAUUUGGCUAAGAUUUUAUCUGAGUAGCUGUCAAUCUGGGAUGCUGAUUGAAUGCCAUGGAAUACUGUGCAGUUAGCCCAAUGAGAAAAGGUUUACAAAUCUGCAUAUAAAAUAGAAUAAGUAAAAUCUGCACUUCCAAAAUAACUUUGAUUGCAAAUAUUACAGUAAUUACUCAAAUUAUGUACUCACUGAAAAUUUACCCCAGUAUCCCUUUAAAUAUAAACGCUGUGAAUAGUAGCUAGACUCCCAGCCACGCUGCAUUAAUUAAUUGUUCAGUAAUGCAAUGUAAAUGUGAAGAUAACAAUGAUAAUUACUAUCAAAUUAUUGUUAUUAUGUCAUUGCAAUGCAACUAAUACAAUGUAUGUACCCAUUAUAAUCUAUCUAUCUAUCUAUCUA